AGAACGAACGCUGGCGGCAUGCCUAACACAUGCAAGUCGAACGAGACCUUCGGGUCUAGUGGCGCACGGGUGCGUAACGCGUGGGAAUCUGCCCUUGGGUUCGGGAUAACAGUUGGAAACGACUGCUAAUACCGGAUGAUGACUUCGGUCCAAAGAUUUAUCGCCCAGGGAUGAGCCCGCGUCGGAUUAGCUAGUUGGUGGGGUAAAGGCCUACCAAGGCGACGAUCCGUAGCUGGUCUGAGAGGAUGAUCAGCCACACUGGGACUGAGACACGGCCCAGACUCCUACGGGAGGCAGCAGUGGGGAAUAUUGGACAAUGGGCGAAAGCCUGAUCCAGCAAUGCGCGUGAGUGAUGAAGGCCUUAGGUUGUAAAGCUCUUUUACCCGGGAUGAUAAUGACAGUACCGGAGAAUAAGCCCCGGCUAACUCCGUGCCAGCAGCCGC
rnacentral:rRNA from 1 species